AAUGUCAGAUUUGCAAGGUUCACAAAGUUCAGGUUCGUGGACAGACAUACAUCGUCAUACCGUAACCAUUGUGGUCCUGUGAAUCUUCUUUUCCACCAACGUCACCUGCUUCUUAGUUCCAUUUCGUGCACCAUAUUUUCAUCUCAAAAUUUUGUAUCGUCUCUUUUCGUCAAAUAUAAUACGAGGAGUAGUUUUUCUGUUUCGUACAUAUACGAAUAACGUCCAGCACUCUGCGUGAAACACAUUCGGUCAAUUCGUUUUUGGUGAAAAGAAAGAACUCGAGCAACUUGAUUUAAUUGUAUAUCAAUCAACAAGAUACACCGAGGAAACAUGAGACAGAAAUGGGUCAGCCUCGCCGUGAUUUUGAUGGUGUUGUUUGCUGGUCUGCUCCCCACUCUUGGCGACGCGUCCACCUCGACCUCUUUGAGUCGGGUGAAGAUAUGCUUCAAAAACUGCGGCCAAUGCAAACGGAUGUUGGGCGACUACUUUGAUGGGCGACGAUGUGCAGACCACUGUAUUUCUCAGAAGGGUCGAUUCAUCCCAGAUUGUCACGACAUUUUCUCCAUCUCGGCAUUCCUCUCCAAGCUGGACUAUUGACCACCUUGCUUUUUGUCUAUGUGAACAAUUGUUACCUUGUAGUUAGUCAUGUUUUACAUUGUUUUACAUUGUGGUACAUGCAUAUUUAUGAAUUAUGGGUUGGUUUAAAUAAACUAUAAACGCUUUACUACAUA